AACUUUCAACAAUGGAUCUCUUGGCUCUCGCAUCGAUGAAGAACGCAGCGAAAUGCGAUACGUAAUGUGAAUUGCAGAAUUCAGUGAAUCAUCGAGUUUUUGAACGCACCUUGCGCUCCUUGGCAUUCCUUGGAGCAUGCCUGUUUGAGUGUCAUGAAAUUCUCAACUCUUCCAACCUUUUGUGGGGUCUGGUCGAGCUUGGACUUGGAGGUACAUUGCUGGCCGAAAGGUCGGCUCCUCUUGAAUGCAUUAGCUGAACCCGCAGUGGAUCGGUCGCUCGGUUUGAUAAUAAUGUCUAUGCCGUCCUCCGUGAAGCCUCGAAAGUGGGAUUCGCUUCCAAUCGUCUUCGGACAUCGCCUUUGGGCGAUCACUGACCAUUUUGACCUCAAAUCAGGUAGGACUACCCGCUGAACUUAAGCAUAUCAAUAAGCGGAGGCU
rnacentral:misc_RNA from 1 species